CUACGGGGCGCUCCAGUGAGGAAUAUUGCACAAUGGGGGGAACCCUGACGCAGCAACGCCGCGUGGAGGAUGACGCAUUUCGGUGUGUAAACUCCUUUUAUAUGUCAAGAAAAUGACGGUAGCAUAUGAAUAAGCACCGGCUAACUCCGUGCCAGCAGCCGCGGUAAUACGGAGGGUGCAAGCGCUACUCGGAAUCACUGGGCGUAAAGGACGCGUAGGCGGGUUGGAAAGUCAGGUGUGAAAUCCUACAGCUUAACUGUAGAACUGCACUUGAAACUUCUAAUCUAGAGUAUGGGAGGGGGAGACGGAAUUAGUGGUGUAGGGGUAAAAUCCGUAGAUAUCACUAGGAAUACCUAAAGCGAAGGCGAUCUCCUGGAACAUUACUGACGCUAAGGCGUGAAAGCGUGGGGAGCAAACAGGAUUAGAUACCCUAGUAGUC
rnacentral:rRNA from 1 species